rnacentral:rRNA from 1 species
AGCGUAGGUGGCCUAACAUGUCAACUGUGAAAACCCGGAGCUCAACUCCGGACUUGCAGUUGAAACUGGUAGGCUUGAGGACGGUAGAGGAAGACGGAACUGCCAGUGUAGGGGUAAAAUACCUUAGAUAUUGGCAGGAACGCCGGUGACGAAGGUGGUUUUCUGGGCCGGUUCUGACACUGAUGCUCGAAAGCCAGGGGAGCGAACG